GAUAAAAAGGAAAUGAAGAAAGAUCAAGCACGCCACCUUACACAUCCAUUCUUGAAGCAUCAUGGUGGAUGAAAGUGGUAGGAUGGUCUAGUCAAAAGCACUGGCUACACAUCCAAACCACGUGAAGGAGCAAAUUGUUGCAUUCCACCUGAGGCCUUAAUGAGGUUGCAAUACUUGGCCAUGCCAGCAACCGUCUGGGCCUUAGGUGUGGUGCUCUAUGAGAUGGUGCACGAAUUUCCACCCUUUCCUAAAGGUGUGCAACGUUAAGGUGUGGUUAGGAUUACGGGACGCAGUUAAACCAUGACUAGGUGAAAGACAAAGAGAUUACAUUUUGUACAUUUUACUCAUUUGGUAUUUUAGACAUUUUUAUCUAAAGCAACUUACAAUGUAUUCAAGGUUUAUAUUGUUCAUCAGUAUGUCUGCUCCUCUCUCACAACCUUUUGUGUGGUUAACACAAUUCACUACAAACUGAGCUACAGGAACAAUAUCUGCUACAAGAACAUGACAGACAGACAAUCAGCUCUUUUCUAAAACUUACAGAUGCCCGUAAUCUGAUUCGAUGGUGCCUGUACAUGAAUCCAGAUCAACGACUAACAAUCGAUCAGAUCUUAGCACAUCAAUGGUUUAAAUGCACCAGAACACAGGUGCCACGCCCAUGCCAAAGGUUGCCAAACAUUUUGUGCCAAAAGGUCCUGAAUCUUUUAAUGCUGAAUACGAGUAUAGAAUGAGUAAAGAUGAUUUUUUUGGGAGUGGUGCCUUUGGCAGGGUGGAUAGAGGAACCUGUAAAGCUGAUGGCAAAUUGGUCGCCAUCAAGCGUAUAGAGCGAUGUGAGCACAAAACAGUUAUUUGUUAUGCAAGUCAUCAAAACUAAUUUAACUAUCCAUAACAUAACUAAGAUGAACUAGACUAGACCGUAAAGGCUGAAGCACCAAAGAACAGUGAUCUGGAAACCCUGUUGACCAUAUUCAUAAAUCUUAAAGCCAUUUAGAUUACAUGCAAUUUAUUCAAUGCAAUACCAAUACAUUACUUGCAGUGUAUUCAAGGUUUAUAUUUUUCAUCAGUAUGUCUGCUCCUCUCCCACAACCUUUUGUGCUGUUAACACAAUUCACUACCAGCUAAGCUACAGGAACAAUGUCUGUUACAAGAACAUGAUAGAUUAUUAAUCAGACAGAAAUAACAACAAUAUAAGCAAAAAAUCUCAAUAUGCCAUGUCAAUAAAUGUCAGCUCUUUUCUAAAACCUACAGAUGUCUGUGAUCUGAUUCAACAGUGCCUGAAGAAUAAUGGAAAGCAACAAUCAAGCAGAUCUUGGCACAUGAGUGGUUUAAAAUGGAUAAGACCCGUCCAGUGGUGGCCAAGGCUACUUUAGGGAAACCGUUGUUUAUUAAAAGAAAAAUUUUAAAGUUCCUCACAUCUGAUUUACAGUCUGUCAGGAUCCUGCCGGAACCUUGUCUCAUUUUGUAUAUUAGUUCAGUAUGGCAGGGUUCUGACAAUACAAUGUCUUGUGUGGGGAAUGCGUGGCCUGUAUUGUGUAUGCUAACCACUUUUUACCCGAUCUCUUACUUGUUAUGAUUUUCACCUGUUCACCUCAUUUGUUCUCCUAUUUAAAGUCCUUGUGUUUGGGGUUCUUCACUGGUUUGUUUUGCCUUGUCGAUGUGAGUACACUGUUGUAUUGUUUAGUGAAGUCAUAGUCCAGUUUGUUCUUUGUUUUGUAGUCUAGUCUAAUUAUAGUCCUGAGUUCACCCAGUCCUCUGUUCAGUUUUUGUUUGUGGUUUACCCCAUCAUGGGGUUUUUUUUGUUUUGUUAACUGUUUUCUAUAAUAAAAGUGUUAAUCAUUACGACUACGUCUGCGCCUGGGUUCGUUCCCUGUCUAACCUUAACACAGUCUGUUAAUGAAGGAAAAGAUCUCAUGUUAACUGCAGUAACUUGCGUAAAAGUUGUUUAAGAAAUCUAAAAUCCACGAUAAAUCUUAAACCAUAAAUAUCAGAGCUUAACACAGAGGAUUUUGGGCAACAAAACAAAAUAGUUAAAAGGAAAUAUGGAUUCAUCUUUGUUAGUCAGUCAGGAGCGGCGAGUGAUUUUCUCUUUUGUCAUUUAAUACAUUUUAAUGAAAGAGACUUCAACAGAUACUGUUUAUUAGGGCCCGAGCACUGUGUGGUGCAAAUUUACAUGUGGUAUAGGCGUCAGAAGUGGGCGUGUAGAAAUUACUCAAUAGCACCACCUAGAGGCUUCAGGAAACAUUGUGAUUCACUGCUCUAAGACAGUAAUUCUCAAAGUGUGGUCCGCCAAACCCCCCCAGUGGUCCGCCAAAAGAUGACCUAAGCUAGGCAAGUGUUUAUACAAUCGUCACUUAUUUAAGUAGAUUUUUAAAAUGCACUUGCAAAACUGUGAUAUCAGUUCUUGCCUUUCUGUUUUAAUAACUUAAAAAUGGAUCGGUGGCUAAACCAAAGAGGAGUCAAAAGAAAGAUCAAGCGUCAACUGAAAGCAGCUAAAAUCCACAGAUCUAUUAGUUUUGUAAUGUACUAGUUUUUGUUUCAUGUGUAAAAUCCCUGUAAUUUCAGUGUUUUUGGACAUUAAGGGGAACAUUUUUUCAGCAUUUUAUUGUUACCAUAGUUACAACCAUAGACUUCAUAUACCCACCACCUCAGUUUUAAACUAAUGGCUCUUUGGUAUGACAUUAAGUGGGACCUAGGCUGUUAUAGU